rnacentral:rRNA from 1 species
AUCUACGGCCAUACCACCCUGAACACGCCCGAUCUCGUCUGAUCUCGGAAGCUAAGCAGGGUUGGGCCUGGUUAGUACUUGGAUGGGAGACAAUCGGGCCUCCCUCAAAU